rnacentral:ncRNA from 1 species
ACUACUUGAUGAAAAUAUGGCAUAGCCGGGUAAUAAAGUAAUUUAUUACUUACUUUUUGCUGUAUGCUGGAAACUCCUUAAAGUCAAAUUAGCUAGAUCGAUAUACUUAUUUUAUAUUGUAAUCAGAAACAUUAAUUUGAAUUGGACAAUCAGCAGGAAACCUUUCCGAGAUAUAAAAAGGGAUCCUCAGAGACUACACGCGAAACAUCCUAUUUAUAUAUAAUAUAUAAAGGAUGAAGAUAUAGUCCAGCUCUUUGGAAACAAUAGAG